rnacentral:lncRNA from 10 species
GCUUUUUGCCCUGAAGUUGUGUGAGACCGACCUUAAACUUUCUCCGACCCUAUCUCGGGAUGCUACGGCUCAGGUCGUGGUGGUUUCGGGAACCUCAAGACAACAUUCCCCAGCUGACCUUUGGGAACUUUAACUCGGGUCGUCAUGUACGGAAAGAAAGGAUUUCUUCCGACAGACGUGACCCCAGAAGGCUGCCGAGGGAGACUUUAGGACAAGAGGCGUUGUUUUUGGAAGGAAGAGGAGCCUGUGCAGAGUUGAACUGGGGUGGAGAGGUGCCUUGUAAAGUAUGGUUUCCAGAGAUGGUGAGACCUCGUAGCUAAGCGUUGUUUCCUCUGCACGUAACUUUUCAGCGUGGCCGCAUUUGGAAAAGGCUGAAGGUAGAAAACUCUGGAAUGGAGAGGCUGGCGACUGGAGCAGGAUCCAGGGGCUUUAAAUUUUAACCUGAAUGCGAUCGAAUGCGCGACUCCCAGAAGAGAUAGCCAGGCGUCCGCCCGGCCGCUCAACCCCCGCCAGGACUCGGAAUGCCUUGCUUUUGGUUCUUUUCUACAAGGAUGUCUGCGUGGAUAUCCCUGGACACUCGAUACCCCCCGGGGACCUGCUUUUCCCGCAGCUCCGCAGACGCGGCGGGAGGGCGCGCUGGCCCCGGCGCUGCUGGGACAGAGGUGAGCAGCGGGGUGGACAUUGACCGAUUCGACAACGUUCGGGCUCUAAGGGCUCGGGAAGGGACCCGGCAUUUUACCCUCCAGAUUCCCAAUCUAUUUUUAAAAAUAAUGUUCAAAACAUAUGGGAAAAAUAAGUGAUUGCUCCUUUUCAUGGUCACAGAUUGUAUUUAUUUUUUCAGACUGGUUUUCCAACCUAACGAGGGAAUGGGUAGUGAAUGUUGUUGUUGUUGUUGUUGUUUAUGUUGGUUAAUUUCGAAAUAAAACUGUUUAACUCGUACAGUUGAUUCAGACAGAAAACCAGGCUGCCUGACGUCUCCAAUGUGCCUUUUCCCCAAUGCAUCUUUGGCGCUAGGGACCGCUCUGGGGAAGACAAGCAUGUUUUCAAAGCCACUCCCAU